CUAGCCCCCCCUUUAGACCUGGAAAACGGUUUUAAAAUUGCCUGACAUCCAGUUCUAAUCAAAGCUGUCCAACGUCAUCCCUGCACUCACGUGGUCUAAUCACAUGCUUAGUAGAGGAGCCUUUGAUUGGACUGUUAAUGCGCUCUGAGCCAGCGAGGGGAGGGUAAUUUUAAAUUGAGAAAAAUAAAACACCAACCCUAAAUAUUUAAUAGAGGGAGGUGGGAGGUACCGCACAGAGGGAGG